UCCAUAAAAUCUGAAAACACACGAAAAUGACUUUAAACAUUAAAAUAACUAAGGAAACACGACAUAAAUGCGCAAGAACAAGCCAACUAAGUCGCAUAAAUGUGCUCCUAUCAGUAAUAUCUUAAAGUGACAACCCCUGUGGCUUUUCACCUUUGGAUAUCAUCUCACAAGUCCAUACAUGUGUCCUUUUUGUGAUUUCAUGACACAUUCAUUAUAAGGGUUAUGAAAGUGAUUUUCUAUCAUAUACGAAAACACCUUCUCAAAUCUUCAACAUUUGAGAUUUAAUUUCCCCAAAUAACAUCCUUGAGAUAGCCUAGCUAUAUCAAUAAGUCCAAUUUCAAGUCUAUACUUUAAAAUUGACCGUGUCACGUUUUGUCAUUUUUCGAGUAACAUCUAUUUUUUAUCAAGUCUAUCAAAUAGACUUUAUUCAUAUCUUGUUGCUCAAAUUAUGACAUCACUCCCACUGGCCUUGUUGUAACUUAGCAUUCAUUCAAAAACUUAACACUUAUAUUUUCUUGAUUUGAAUGCAUAUUGCUCCCAUUAACUUGUCUUGGAUCUAUUGACAAUCAUUGAGAUCCAUUAGCUUAUUGAUGAUGUCUUAACAAUUUUGAAACUAUCAACAACGCUAGCUAACACAAGUUAUUUAAACGAACAUACACAAAAGAAUUCCUUCUCAAGUAAUUCCAUUUGAAAUGUGUGACUUGCUUUAUCAAGUCUAUUCAUUUAAAUCAUAUGGUGUCAUACACCAUACUCUAAGUUUUAGUCAUACUAAGACCUUUAAUGUAGUCAUAUAAGAAUUAUCCAAGUCUUUAGUGGAAGCAUGGCUCCUACUAAGGAUAUAGAAACUCAACCAUUCCUUCUAGGUGGUUGAUAUAAUUCUUUAUCAAAACUACAUAGAGCGUUAUAGUUACAUGAGAUGUUGAAUUUGGAUUGUCUUGUUGUUAAACCAUAUGUUGUGACUCAUUUUAAAACUAUUCCCUUUUGUUUCAUCAAAUUUGUCCAUACGCUUUGUUAUUAGCUUGUUCUCCUAAAAGAGAAUGAUGGACAACUCCCAACAUAUAACCAUUUUAUGUUAGGUUGACGAAACCAACAUUCAAAGACUAUUCUUUAGAAUGUUACACAACAUAGAAUUUUAACUUUUGAAGAGCUUGAGUCCUUUAACAACUAAAAUUACAAACUCUUAAUAAUAGUCAAGUACUAUUAUUCUUUAGACAACUAUAAACCAAUCAUAUUCAAGUUUAUAUCCUUUUUCACACCUCCCACUAUUUCUCAUGACUUUAAUGAGAAAUCACUUCAUACAUUCAAAAUGUAUAAACGUGGAGUAUACGGGUAGAGGACAUUGUGUAGUAGCUUUAAAACCUUUUAAGCUCGUUUGUUUCAAUCUUCACUAAGUUAAUGUUUCGUUAUUAAGUGACUAAAGUCUUUAAACAUUUUAUAGAUUUAUACACUUCUUUCUUGGUUUAAUCACUAACACAAUUGACAUUUUAAAACCAAUUGUAAGAAUGCUUAAUUAGUUGUUCAAACUACUAAUUGAAUCAAGAGUGAUCUUGAUUAUUGUGGUUUAAGUGAUAACCAUAUAAGAAACGUUUUUCUUAUUACUUAUAUCAUUAUAAUGUGAUCUUCCUUUUCUUCAAGAAAGGAAUUUCUAGACAUUUGUCAAUUCAUAUAGAACUCAUAGGUAGACAAUUGGAACCAAAUCUAAAGAUUCAUUGUAUCCUUCUAUGUCCAACACGUGAGAUCUAUCCAUAAUUGAUAAGUCUAAAGUUUGGUUAUCACAUUACAAUAACUGAUAUAAUUCUUGUAUCUCUACUAGGAUACAACAAGACAAUAUUCAAUUCAUAACACUACUUUAAGGAAAUAAUAUAUUAGAAGGCAUUCAUCAC
rnacentral:lncRNA from 1 species